AGUGAACGCUGGCGGCGUGCUUAACACAUGCAAGUCGAACGAGAACGGGUUAUAGCUUGCUAUAAUUGUCAGCUAAGUGGCGCACGGGUGAGUAAUGUAUAGGUAAUAUGCCUCUUACUAAGGGAUAACAAAUGGAAACGUUUGCUAAUACCUUAUACUCCUUAUUAACAGAAGUUAAUAAGGGAAAGAUUUAUUGGUAAGAGAUUAGCCUGUAUUGUAUCAGUUAGUUGGUGGGGUAAUGGCUUACCAAGACUAUGACACAUAACUGGUUUGAGAGGAUGAUCAGUCACACUGGAGCUGAGACACGGUCCAGACUCCUACGGGAGGCAGCAGUGGGGAAUAUUGCACAAUGGACGAAAGACUGAUGCAGCAACGCCGCGUGGAGGAUGACACAUUUCGGUGCGUAAACUCCUUUUAUAUGAGAAGAUAAUGACGGUAUUAUAUGAAUAAGCACCGGCUAACUCCGUGCCAGCCGCCGCGGUAA
rnacentral:rRNA from 1 species